UAAGAGACGUUACAAUCUUUUUCUUAUCUUAUGCUGGUUUUUUAGGAUAAGUGAAAUUUUGUCUGUUAAAAGAUCAGAUGUUGUAUUUUUAGAUACGCAUUGUGAUAUUAAAGUUGAAAAGUCAAAAACGGACAUUUUAAGAGAGAGUAAUACUGUUCUGAUUGCAAAAACUAAUACAGACACAUCUGUGAAAUUGUUUGAAAAGUAUUUGUGUGUUGCAGAUAUUGCAUGUUCAUCUACUGAUUAUGUGUUUAGACCAGUUUAUUUGUGUAAUGUUAAACACUGUUUCAAAUUGAUUUCUAAUAAUAAGCAUAUAAGUUAUUCUACUAUAAAUGAUAGUUUUAAGAAGAAGUUAAGUCUAUUGGGUUAUGUUUCUUCUAAAUAUGAACUUCAUUCUUUUCGUGCUGGUGGAGCAUCUAUAAGUGCCAAUAAUAAGACUGUGGAUAGACUUUGGCAAAGACAUGGUAGAUGAAAAAGUGUUUCCACUAAGAACGGAUAUGUUAAAGAUUCUUUGAAAGACAGAUUAUCGGUGUCGCUAAAUUUAGAUUUGUGAAAAGUCAUUAUUAAUGUAUGUGUAAUUUGAAAUGUAUGAUGUGUUGUUCGUAGCACAUUUAAAGACACUAUAAUAUAUUAUUAUAUAAAUAAUUUGGAAAUGCUUUUGAGUAUUAUUAAGUUCUGUGUUUGUGUUGUGUGUAUGUUCCUUGUGGUCAUUGGACCAAUUUGUUUACGGCCAUUUGGCCUCAUUUGGUAAGCCAGUUGGCUUGUAUGGUCAGUUGACCGUUUUUAAAGCAAGUUGAUCUGAUGUGUGAAAGCCGGUUGGCUUUUGUGAGUUGACCUUAUUUUCUUAAAAAGCAUGUUCACAUGGAAUUAACAAUCUUUGCAAGUUUAUUUUUUGCAGUGCAGUAACUGGACAGUACGAAUGGUAUAUUAAGUAUUGGAGAACAUAAAGUUAAAACACAGUUCGAGAGGUAUAUAACGUGGUGGAGAAUAUUUGGGUAUUCAUUUUAUGUUUCAUAUUAUUUGUAUUCUCUCUUUGUUUUAUUCGAAAGUCCUGUCAAAUACAAGCACUCACUCCUA